rnacentral:rRNA from 1 species
AUACGGAGGGUCCGAGCGUUAAUCGGAAUUACUGGGCGUAAAGCGCGCGUAGGUGGUUUGUUAAGUUGGAUGUGAAAGCCCAGGGCUCAACCUUGGAACUGCAUCCAAAACUGGCAGACUAGAGUACAGCAGAGGAUAGUGGAAUUUCAGGUGUAGCGGUGAAAUGCGUAGAUAUCUGAAGGAACAUCAGUGGCGAAGGCGACUGUCUGGGCUGAUACUGACACUGAGGUGCGAAAGCGUGGGGAGCAAACGGGAUUAGAAACCCCUGUAGUCC